UACGUAGGUGGCAAGCGUUGUCCGGAAUUAUUGGGCGUAAAGCGCGCGCAGGCGGUCCUUUAAGUCUGAUGUGAAAGCCCACGGCUCAACCGUGGAGGGUCAUUGGAAACUGGGGGGACUUGAGUGCAGGAGAGAAGAGUGGAAUUCCACGUGUAGCGGUGAAAUGCGUAGAGAUGUGGAGGAACACCAGUGGCGAAGGCGACUCUUGGCCUGUAACUGACGCUGAGGCGCGAAGCGUGGGGAGCAAACAGG
rnacentral:rRNA from 1 species